AUCCAGCUGACGAGACGAAACGUGCGUCCUGGAU
rnacentral:hammerhead_ribozyme from 1 species